ensembl:lncRNA
AUGUGGCAAAAGGUCGCAAAGUUCAAGGGGGCCGAAUACUUUCGCAAGGCACUGUAUAUAGCCUCCACAUUGACUCAGUACCGGUACCACCUGUAUUUAGCCUCCACAUUGACUCUGUACCAGUACCCCCUGUAUAUAGCCUCCACAUUGACUCUGUACCGGUACCACCUGUAUAUAGCCUCCACAUUGACUCUGUACCGGUACCCCUUGUAUAUAGCCUCCACAUUGACUCUGUACCGGUACCCCCUGUAUAUAGCCUCCACAUUGACUCUGUACCGGUACCCCCUGUAUAUAGACUCCACAUUGACUCUGUACCGGUACCCCCUGUAUAUAGCCUCCACAUUGACUCUGUACCGGUACUCCCUGUAUAUAGCCUCCACAUUGACUCUGUACCAGUACCCCCUGUAUAUAGUCUCCACAUUGACUCUGUACCAGUACCCCCUGUAUAUAGCCUCCACAUUGACUCUGUACCAGUACCUCCUGUAUAUAGCCUCCACAUUGACUCUGUACCGGUACCCCCUGUAUAUAGCCUCCACAUUGACUCUGUACCGGUACUCCCUGUAUAUAGCCUCCACAUUGACUCUGUACCAGUACCCCCUGUAUAUAGCCUCCACAUUGACUCUGUACCGGUACCCCCUGUAUAUAGCCUCCACAUUGACUCUGUACCGGUACCCCCUGUAUAUAGCCUCCACAUUGACUCUGUACCGGUACCCCCUGUAUAUAGCCUCCACAUUGACUCUGUACCGGCACCCCCUGUAUAUAACCUCCACAUUGACUCUGUACUGGUACCCCCUGUAUAUAACCUCCACAUUGACUCUGUACCAGUACCCCCUGUAUAUAGCCUCCACAUUGACUCUGUACCAGUACCCCCUGUAUAUAGCCUCCACCUUGACUCUGUACCGGCACCCCCUGUAUAUAACCUCCACAUUGACUCUGUACUGGUACCCCCUGUAUAUAACCUCCACAUUGACUCUGUACCAGUACCCCCUGUAUAUAGCCUCCACAUUGACUCUGUACCGGUACCCCCUGUAUAUAGCCUCCACAUUGACUCUGUACCGGUACCCCCUGUAUAUAGCCUCCACAUUGACUCUGUACCGGUACCCCCUGUAUAUAGCCUCCACAUUGACUCUGUACCGGCACCCCCUGUAUAUAACCUCCACAUUGACUCUGUACUGGUACCCCCUGUAUAUAACCUCCACAUUGACUCUGUACCAGUACCCCCUGUAUAUAGCCUCCACAUUGACUCUGUACCGGCACCCCCUGUAUAUAACCUCCACAUUGACUCUGUACUGGUACCCCCUGUAUAUAGCCUCCACAUUGACUCUGUACCAGUACCCCCUGUAUAUAGCCUCCACAUUGACUCUGUACCGGCACCCCCUGUAUAUAGCCUCCACAUUGACUCUGUACCAGUACCCCCUGUAUAUAGCCUCCACAUUGACUCUGUACCAGUACCCCCUGUAUAUAGCCUCCACAUUGACUCUGUACCAGUACCCCCUGUAUAUAACCUCCACAUUGACUCUGUACUGGUACCCCCUGUAUAUAGCCUCCACAUUGACUCUGUACCAGUACCCCCUGUAUAUAGCCUCCACAUUGACUCUGUACCAGUACCCCCUGUAUAUAGCCUCCACAUUGACUCUGUACCAGUACCCCCUGUAUAUAGCCUCCACAUUGACUCUGUACCAGUACCCCCUGUAUAUAGCCUCCACAUUGACUCUGUACCAGUACCCCCUGUAUAUAGCCUCCACAUUGACUCUGUACCAGUACCCCCUGUAUAUAGCCUCCACAUUGACUCUGUACCAGUACCCCCUGUAUAUAGCCUCCACAUUGACUCUGUACCAGUACCCCCUGUAUAUAGCCUCCACAUUGACUCUGUACCGGUACCCCCUGUAUAUAGCCUCCACAUUGACUCUGUACCGGUACCCCCUGUAUAUAACCUCCACAUUGACUCUGUACCAGUACCCCCUGUAUAUAGCCUCCACAUUGACUCUGUACCAGUACCCCCUGUAUAUAGCCUCCACAUUGACUCUGUACCGGUACCCCCUGUAUAUAGCCUCCACAUUGACUCUGUACCGGUACCCCCUGUAUAUAGCCUCCACAUUGACUCUGUACCGGUACCCCCUGUAUAUAGCCUCCACAUUGACUCUGUACCGGUACCCCCUGUAUAUAGCCUCCACAUUGACUCUGUACCGGUACCCCCUGUAUAUAGCCUCCACAUUGACUCUGUACCGGUACCCCCUGUAUAUAGCCUCCACAUUGACUCUGUACCGGUACCACCUGUAUAUAGCCUCCACAUUGACUCUGUACCAGUACCCCCUGUAUAUAGCCUCCACAUUGACUCUGUACCAGUACCACCUGUAUAUAGCCUCCACAUUGACUCUGUACCAGUACCCCCUGUAUAUAGCCUCCACAUUGACUCUGUACCAGUACCCCCUGUAUAUAGCCUCCACAUUGACUCUGUACCAGUACCCCCUGUAUAUAGCCUCCACAUUGACUCUGUACCAGUACCCCCUGUAUAUAGCCUCCACAUUGACUCUGUACCGGUACCCCCUGUAUAUAGCCUCCACAUUGACUCUGUACCGGUACCACCUGUAUAUAGCCUCCACAUUUGACUCUGUACCAGUACCCCCUGUAUAUAGCCUCCACAUUGACUCUGUACCAGUACCUCCUGUAUAUAGCCUCCACAUUGACUCUGUACCGGUACCCCCUGUAUAUAGCCUCCACAUUGACUCUGUACCGGUACCCCCUGUAUAUAGCCUCCACAUUGACUCUGUACCGGUACCCCCUGUAUAUAACCUCCACAUUGACUCUGUACCAGUACCCCCUGUAUAUAGCCUCCACAUUGACUCUGUACCAGUACCCCCUGUAUAUAGCCUCCACAUUGACUCUGUACCAGUACCCCCUGUAUAUAGCCUCCACAUUGACUCUGUACCGGUACCCCCUGUAUAUAGCCUCCACAUUGACUCUGUACCGGUACCCCCUGUAUAUAGCCUCCACAUUGACUCUGUACCGGUACCCCCUGUAUAUAGCCUCCACAUUGACUCUGUACCGGUACCCCCUGUAUAUAGCCUCCACAUUGACUCUGUACCGGUACCCCCUGUAUAUAGCCUCCACAUUGACUCUGUACCAGUACCACCUGUAUAUAGCCUCCACAUUGACUCUGUACCAGUACCCCCUGUAUAUAGCCUCCACAUUGACUCUGUACCAGUACCACCUGUAUAUAGCCUCCACAUUGACUCUGUACCAGUACCCCCUGUAUAUAGCCUCCACAUUGACUCUGUACCAGUACCCCCUGUAUAUAGCCUCCACAUUGACUCUGUACCAGUACCCCCUGUAUAUAGCCUCCACAUUGACUCUGUACCAGUACCCCCUGUAUAUAGCCUCCACAUUGACUCUGUACCAGUACCCCCUGUAUAUAGCCUCCACAUUGACUCUGUACCAGUACCCCCUGUAUAUAGCCUCCACAUUGACUCUGUACCGGUACCCCCUGUAUAUAGCCUCCACAUUGACUCUGUACCGGUACCCCCUGUAUAUAGCCUCCACAUUGACUCUGUACCAGUACCCCCUGUAUAUAGCCUCCACAUUGACUCUGUACCAGUACCCCCUGUAUAUAGCCUCCACAUUGACUCUGUACCAGUACCCCCUGUAUAUAGCCUCCACAUUGACUCUGUACCAGUACCACCUGUAUAUAGCCUCCACAUUGACUCUGUACCGGUACCCCCUGUAUAUAGCCUCCACAUUGACUCUGUACCGGUACCCCCUGUAUAUAGCCUCCACAUUGACUCUGUACCAGUACCACCUGUAUAUAGCCUCCACAUUGACUCUGUACCAGUACCCCCUGUAUAUAGCCUCCACAUUGACUCUGUACCGGUACCCCCUGUAUAUAGCCUCCACAUUGACUCUGUAGCAGUACUACCUGUAUAUAGCCUCCACAUUGACUCUGUACCGGUACCACCUGUAUAUAGCCUCCACAUUGACUCUGUACCAGUACCCCCUGUAUAUAGCCUCCACAUUGACUCUGUACCAGUACCCCCUGUAUAUAGCCUCCACAUUGACUCUGUACCAGUACCCCCUGUAUAUAGCCUCCACAUUGACUCUGUACCAGUACCCCCUGUAUAUAGCCUCCACAUUGACUCUGUACCAGUACCCCCUGUAUAUAGCCUCCACAUUGACUCUGUACCGGUACCCCCUGUAUAUAGCCUCCACAUUGACUCUGUACUGGUACCCCCUGUAUAUAGCCUCCACAUUGACUCUGUACCAGUACCCCCUGUAUAUAGCCUCCACAUUGACUCUGUACCGGUACCCCCUGUAUAUAGCCUCCACAUUGACUCUGUACCAGUACCCCCUGUAUAUAGCCUCCACAUUGACUCUGUACCGGUACCCCCUGUAUAUAGCCUCCACAUUGACUCUGUACCGGUACCCCCUGUAUAUAGCCUCCACAUUGACUCUGUACCGGUACCCCCUGUAUAUAGCCUCCACAUUGACUCUGUACCAGUACCCCCUGUAUAUAGCCUCCACAUUGACUCUGUACCAGUACCCCCUGUAUAUAGCCUCCACAUUGACUCUGUACCGGUACCCCCUGUAUAUAGCCUCCACAUUGACUCUGUACCGGUACCCCCUGUAUAUAGCCUCCACAUUGACUCUGUACCGGUACCCCCUGUAUAUAGCCUCCACAUUGACUCUGUACCAGUACCCCCUGUAUAUAGCCUCCACAUUGACUCUGUACCAGUACCCCCUGUAUAUAGUCUCCACAUUGACUCUGUACCAGUACCCCCUGUAUAUAGUCUCCACAUUGACUCUGUACCAGUACCCCCCUGUAUAUAG